CGCGGCCGGUUCAGAUUUUCUUCCUCCUCCUCCUCCCUCCAUCGAGGCCGACAUGUGUCCCCCCGUCCCCCGCGUUUGCUUCGACGGCCACGGCCACGCCUCCCGCGCGAGCGGCUACUAGCACUAGGCACUAGCUCGUUCCACCCGCGCGCGCGCGCGCUCCUCUCGCCGCGUCCCGCCGCCCAGAUCCGCCUCCCCCCCGGUUGAACCGUCGUCAUCGCCGCCGCCGCUUCGCCGCAAUUUGGGUUUCCAUGCCUCCCGCGCCGCUAUAUGCCAGUACCAGCCCCACCAAGUUCGCAAUGCCCCCCUCCCCGCCCCUGCCUCCCCCCUCGACCGCCAGCUCGCUGCGGGCUGCGGCACGGCCGUGGUGACUCAGAUUCAUGCAAUGGGGGGUGACAAGCUUGUGGCAGCAACUGCACAUCUUGCAAGAAAAUCUUAAGGGUUUUUCAGACCAUACCGGUGAUUUUCUUGCAAGUUGUGCAGUUGUUGUCUCAAGCUUGCUGCCUCCCUUUGCCAAAACUAUCAAGUCAGAAAGCAGAGUAGAGUUAUCAAUUUACGGGCACCAGAAAAAAAAAGUAAUAAACAUAUCUGACAUACAAACAGGAUGAUUAAUAACAGUACUCUCGUGGCAUGAAAUUAAUAUGUUGAAGCAUGAUUGUUACAGCAGUAAUAUAACGAAAAGUAAAUGUAGACAGGUAUAUGUUUUGAUGAUGUUGAUGUUAUCUUGGUUCUGCUAAAAUAUUUUGAUUAACAACAAUAUAUUUAUUUCCAUGGAUGCUAGUGCUACCAGGGAAUGGGAAAUGAACUAAUCAACAUAUGAAGUUCUAGUAAGGGUUCAAGGAAUCUCUCCAGGAAUGACCUGUGAGUGGUCCUAUAAUUGUUGGAGUUGAUUUGUCAUCAAUGUAGUACUAGAAUUUGCCAGUUAUUAACAUCCUUUGUCCAAAGCUACUCAGCAGGAGUGGCGAGGGCACAUCUUUGUAGUUCUGUAAAUCAAAUAAGACUGAAUAAUAUAUGUUAGUUUUCCAAGCAAUAAGAUGUA